CAGCAGCCGCGGGAAAACGUAGGGUGCAAGCGUUAAUCGGAAUUACUGGGCGUAAAGCGUGCGCAGGCGGUUAUAUAAGACAGAUGUGAAAUCCCCGGGCUCAACCUGGGAACUGCAUUUGUGACUGUAUAGCUAGAGUACGGCAGAGGGGGAUGGAAUUCCGCGUGUAGCAGUGAAAUGCGUAGAUAUGCUGAGGAACACCGAUGGCGAAGGCAAUCCCCUGGGCCUGUACUGACGCUCAUGCACGAAAGCGUGGGGAGCAAACAGGAUUAGAGACCCCCGUAGUCCCUGUCUCUUAUAC
rnacentral:rRNA from 1 species